rnacentral:tRNA from 1 species
AGGAAGUGGGUAUGACC